rnacentral:lncRNA from 1 species
GUGGUGAAUGGUUAACUCAUUCGUUCAAUCCCUUAAUAUGAGACUGAAAGUCCACAGUUGGCGGAGUUUCAGGAGCCAUCUCCGGCCUUGCAGGGACUGUUACUGCUAGGAGGGUGGGCACAGGCUCCUCAGCCUGGGGCCGUCCCCUUUCGCACCAGCACCAGUCGUUUCUGCCUUCAUAUUAAUGGCACGCUGUUGCGCUCUCCUGGCUGUUUCUGGUUUGGAUGGUUUUGGCUGUGACCUUGGCAAUGGGUUAUUCACCUAGAGUCUCAAAAGCCGGAAAGUCCAAACUGCAAUUCUUUGGUAACCUGAGAAAGAGAAAGAAGAGCAGUGAGAACAAGAGGCCUUGGAUAUUCAAAUCAAUUAAACAAUUAAUUCCUACCCUGCAAACUGGCGUGUCAAGCUUCAGCCUGUGGCCGACUUAUUUGGCUGAAUUAUAACCCCCUGGCAAGCAGCGGUUCCUCAUGGAAAAGCUGGAGGAGUC